rnacentral:tRNA from 1 species
GCGCCCUUAGCUCAACUGGAUAGAGCAACGGACUUCUAAUCCGUAAGUUAUGAGUUCAAAUCUCAUAGGACGCA